AUUGAACGCUGGCGGCAGGCCUAACACAUGCAAGUCGAACGAGUGGCGGACGGGUGAGUAAUGUCUGGGACACUGCCUGAUGGAGGGGGAUAACUACUGGAAACGGUAGCUAAUACCGCAUACCAUCGGAUGUGCCCAGAUGGGAUUAGCUAGUAGGUGGGGUAACGGCUCACCUAGGCGACGAUCCCUAGCUGGUCUGAGAGGAUGACGAGCAACACUGGAACUGGGACACGGUCAAGAAUCCGACGGGAGGCAGCAGUGGGGAAGAUGGCACAAGGGGCGAAAGCCUGAUGCAGCCAUGCCGCGUGUAUGAAGAAGGCCUUCGGGUUGUAAAGUACUUUCAGCGGGGAGGCGUUACCCGCAGAAGAAGCACCGGCUAACUCCGUGCCAGCAGCCGCGGUAAUUC
rnacentral:rRNA from 1 species